rnacentral:rRNA from 1 species
UGGGGAAUAUUGCACAAUGGGCGCAAGCCUGAUGCAGCCAUGCCGCGUGUGUGAAGAAGGCCUUCGGGUUGUAAAGCACUUUCAGCGGGGAGGAAGGCGUUAAGGUUAAUAACCUUGGCGAUUGACGUUACCCGCAGAAGAAGCACCGGCUAACUCCGUGCCAGCAGCCGCGGUAAUACGGAGGGUGCAAGCGUUAAUCGGAAUUACUGGGCGUAAAGCGCACGCAGGCGGUUUGUUAAGUCAGAUGUGAAAUCCUCGGGCUCAACCUGGGAACUGCAUCUGAUACUGGCAAGCUUGAGUCUCGUAGAGGGGGGUAGAAUUCCAGGUGUAGCGGUGAAAUGCGUAGAGAUCUGGAGGAAUACCGGUGGCGAAGGCGGCCCCCUGGACGAAGACUGACGCUCAGGUGCGAAAGCGUGGGGAGCAAACAG